CGCACAUUGCGCCCCUUGGUAUUCCAUGGGGCAUGCCUGUUCGAGCGUCAUUUGUACUCUCAAGCUAAGCUUGGUGUUGGGUGUUUGUCCACUCCCUCGUGUUUGGACUCGCCUUAAAAUCAUUGGCAGCCAGUGUUUUGGUAUUGAAGCGCAGCACAAUUUGCGAUUCUAGCCCGGAAUACUAGCAACCAUCAAGUUAUUUUUAACGCUUGACCUCGGAUCAGGUAGGGAUACCCGCUGAACUUAA
rnacentral:misc_RNA from 1 species